rnacentral:rRNA from 1 species
AUUGAACGCUGGCGGCAUGCUUUACACAUGCAAGUCGAACGGUAACAGGUUAAGCUGACGAGUGGCGAACGGGUGAGUAAUGCAUCGGAACGUGCCCGGUCGUGGGGGAUAACGCAGCGAAAGCUGCGCUAAUACCGCAUACGAUCUGAGGAUGAAAGCGGGGGACCGUAAGGCCUCGCGCGAUCGGAGCGGCCGAUGUCAGAUUAGGUAGUUGGUGGGGUAAAGGCUCACCAAGCCAACGAUCUGUAGCUGGUCUGAGAGGACGACCAGCCACACUGGGACUGAGACACGGCCCAGACUCCUACGGGAGGCAGCAGUGGGGAAUUUUGGACAAUGGGCGAAAGCCUGAUCCAGCAAUGCCGCGUGCAGGAAGAAGGCCUUCGGGUUGUAAACUGCUUUUGUACGGAGCGAAAAGGUCUCCUCUAAUACAGGGGGCUCAUGACGGUACCGUAAGAAUAAGCACCGGCUAACUACGUGCCAGCAGCCGCCGCGG